UGCCAGCAGCCGCGGUAAUACGUAUGGGGCAAGCGUUAUCCGGAUUCAUUGGGCGUAAAGCGCGCGUAGGCGGAUCGUUAAGUCAGGUGUGAAAACCGGGGGCUCAACCCGCGGCCUGCACCUGAAACUGGCGGUCUUGAGUCUGGUAGAGGAAAGUGGAAUUCCCAGUGUAGCGGUGAAAUGCGCAGAUAUUGGGAGGAACACCAGUGGCGAAGGCGGCUUUCUGGGCCACGACUGACGCUGAGGCGCGAAAGCUAGGAGAGCAAACAGGAUUAGAUA
rnacentral:rRNA from 1 species